rnacentral:rRNA from 1 species
GAUCAAGCUACAAAGGGCUUACGGAGGAUGCCUUGGUACAUGGCGCCGAAGAAGGACGUGACAAGCUGCGAAAAGCUGCGGUGAGGAGCAAAUAUCUAAUGACCCGCAGAUAUCCGAAUGAGGGAACUCAGCACGAGUAACAUCGUGUUAUCAUACACUGAAUAGAUAGGGGUAUGAGGGGAACCCAGGGAACUGAAACAUCUAAGUACCUGGAGGAAAAGAAAACAAUAGUGAUUCCGAGAGUAGUGGCGAGCGAAAUUGGAGGAGCCCAAACCAAGAACGUAAUGUUCUUGGGGUAAGGACUACGAUAUAGUAUCUGGAUGGAUAGUCGAAAUACCUGGAAAGGUAUAACAAAGAAGGUGAAAUUCCUGUAGACGAAAUUUUGAAAGAGCGAGUAGUAUCCGGAGUACGUCGGGACACGAGAAAUCCUGACGGAAGAAAGGGGGACCAUCCCCAAAGGCUAAAUACGACCAUGUGACCGAUAGCGAAUAGUACCGUGAGGGAAAGGUGAAAAGAACCCCGGGAGGGGAGUGAAAUAGAACCUGAAACCGUGAGCUUACAAGCAGAUAUAGCACUAUUAAGAGUGUGGUAUCGUACUUUUUGUAGAACGGGCCGGCGAGUUACGAUAUGAUGCGAGGUUAAGUAGUAAAGCUACGGAGCCGAAGCGAAAGCGAAUCUGAAGAGGGUGGUAAGUAUCAUGUCGUAGACCCGAAACCGAAUGACCUAACCAUGAGCAGGUUGAAGCAAUGGUAAAACGUUGUGGAGGACCGAACACACGCCUGUUGAAAUAGUCGGUGAUGACUUGUGGUU